rnacentral:lncRNA from 1 species
AUUGGAUCGGAAUGUUCCAUUUUGGAGCCAUUUGGUUGCAUAUAGUUGCAACUACACUGCAGUUGUAACUGCAUGUAAAUACAAAUUCGGUGUUUGAUUUGAUAUAUUUAACUCCAACUGUUGUAGUAGGAACUGCAGAAGGAGGUCCAACUGCAACAGUUCGAGCUACGCCCAAAUUGGCCACAGUUCCAACUACAGCAAUUGGAGAGAAUAACUUUAAAUAAAAGGUAUACUUACCUUCUCAAUAUUUUUUAAACAAAAAUUAUUUUUCUUCUUUACGUUGGAGGUAAUCUCACCAUCAUAUAUAUCAAAUGAUAAAAUUUUAAAAAUUAUUUCUCAACUGUAUACAAACAAAUAAAUUAUUUAUACUUGCAGCGUUUUCUACUACAUCCAACCAAACAGAAUUAAUAUAGUUGUAACUGUUGUAUUUACAACUGUAUGCAUCUCUAACUAUACUGUAUUUAUAAUUACAUCUAACCAAACGGCCCCUUUAUUUCGUAAGGUCGGUGAUUCGACUACAAAUUU